rnacentral:lncRNA from 1 species
UGCUUGAGCCCAUCCACUCAUGAAUGAAAGCAACAUUUAAUCUGAUACAAAAAAUAAAAACAUCCCCAACUUAUGCCUGGGAUCCUUUUUUCUCUAUUUUUUUUUUACUUUUUACUGGAAUUUAUACAAUGAUUAUGCUUUUUUUCUCAAGAUUGGCAAAGUGGACACAAAAGAGGAUCGUGCAAUGCAGAGCUGAGGCAACUCCUAGGAAAUGAAUCAAUGAUAGGCCCAAUUCAGCAUCUCCCUCCACGGAUCUUUACCUUGGAGACGACAAAAGAAAACUCAAAUGGAAAAGGAUCGCCGGACCAACGCAAAAAUGGGCACCUUACUGAUGGGGAUGAUGAGCUUCUAGAAACUCUUGUUAAAACAGCAACAAAAAUUCCAGCCUCUCGAUCUGCUCCAAGAGAGCGCAAGAGAAUUCGAAACGCGGAUCGAAAAUCCUGUAAGUAUUAAAACUUUACACCUUCACCUAUAUCCACAUCCAAUUGGUCGUGAAAUAAAGCACCUAAAUGAAAAUCUAAUUAUUGUAACUGUAUUGUCAGGUUACUUUAAUCUGAUGGUUGUCACAUAAUUCAGACAGAUGUAUAAAACGCGACCGUAGGGGGAGCUGGAUUUAUGUGAACCACAAUUUUCCUGAACAAUUCGUUGAACACUCAAAUUUUUUUGGUUUCAACACAGGGUGGUAAACGGCUGCACUGUAGGAGUGUAAACGAUAAAUUGCUCUUUAUAAAUAUUUAGAAGCUACAGUUACUUUCCUUCCAAAUUUUGGAAAAAUAAUUGUUUUUUAUUUUAUUUUUGGAAGUGUUAUGAACCAAAACUCAUGAAAGAUGGCAAUCCCACAUAAUUUUUGCAUUGAAUUCAUCCAUAGCUUCAAAAAUUUAGGAAUCUCAAGUUAAAGGGUUAUUUCAGGAUGUCUUGGGUCUUUUAAAUUUUUUUGCCCCAUAAGGAACAACAGCCCCAUUGCCAGGUACAUACGAGCAAGCAAGACACAGUUUACAUGUACAGGUGUAUGAAAGUGAGAGUUUUGUAUGCUUUUCUUUAAUCAUGUUUACAUUAGGCAAUUUUCAACAACAUUUCUUUUUUGUUUCCUUUUUCACACCACACCAUCCUCAAAGAAAGACGCACUGAGACUUUUGGAAAGACUUCCGGUGAAUUUUGAUAAUAUGUUAAUGCGGUAUUCAAAAGCUCAUCUGAGGCCUAAUUACAAAAUAAAACAAUGCACUAUAUAAAGCAGAGAUUUUCACUUGCUGUUGUUUCACAAUAUGCACCCCUCUUUACCAUGUUAUUGUAGGGCAGAAGAGGAGAGAAGUUAACAAUAUUAUGGUUCAGAAAUAUGAAGAAAAAGAACGUAGGGGUAUUUUCUGGUCUCUGUUGAACAGAGAACAGUGCAUCUCUCAACACAAUUAUCAUGGCUUCAAUCGUACGCUUUGCAUGAUUUUUUAACUUUCAAUUUGACAGAUGACUCCUCAAAGUUUUAUCAGAAUGCACUAGGAACCGUUCUUUCAUGUCUUACAGCAUCUUGUCUGGUUUAUACAUGGUUAGUUCAGUGUCGGCAGUAUUAUUUUAAAUUCAUUUUGUGUUUUUAGGGCAACCAUUUACCCGAGGAUAAUUUAGUAUUUAAUCCUGCUGAUUUUUUAGCAAUAAUUGAAGGAGAAACUAAGUAAGACACAUGAUUGAUUAUUGAAUUUGGUUUUCCUUUUUUUUAAGUUUAAAUGACAGUUGAAGUUUUUUCUUUAUUCCUUUUGAUUUUUCUCGAGAUCACAACCAAGCUAGUUUAUCGUCUUGUUGAGACAAAUUCAUUUAAAGAUUGAUGAGAAUAUACAAAUGCUACAAUUCGUUUAAAAUUCUGUUUUACAAUGAAGAUUAAGAGUUGUUUGAGUUGCUUGUAAAACUUAAGAAGCAUCCAAAUUUUGGUUCAGUUUUCAAAUCAUACUGUUUAUUAAUAAUUAUCUUUGACAUGUUUUAUCAAUCUAUUAGUAAGUAAUAAUAAUUGUAGCUCCUUAUUUGCAAUGCCUCAACUAUGAUAAACUACCUGGUUUGAACAAUGUUAUAAUUACAACUUGAACUCUGUAACAAAAUUUUAAAACAAUUUUUGGAUUGGGAGAGACCAAAGCUUUGUUGCUUAAUUUUAUUUUCACCCAUGCAAGGUUUGCAGAGCAUCAGAAAUUUUGUGUACCACCCAUACGGCUCGUCUUCAACUCAUUCUCAAACUACAAACUAAACUAUUCUGUUUAUAAAAUAAAGAUGGAUGAAGAAGAACAUUAUACACCCGUCAGGGUUUUUGUUCUGUCUUGAAAGAAAUAAUCUCCUUAUAAAUCAUUGUCUUUAAAAAUAGUUUGUUAUGAUGUUCAAAGUUGUCAGGUUUUUUUUUUUUAUUUUUGGUCUUUCUGCUUUUUGCCUCCUCUCAGAUAGCUAACUGAAUAUAUCUCUUAAAUGUGGUAUUUUUGCUAAAAUUCAGUCAAUGAAUUGCUCAAGCCCUCUUAAAUUUUUUUGAAGUGCUUUUUCUUCCAACUCUGAAAGCUGCUAACCACUUCUUCUAUUAAAAUAAUUAAAAAACUUCUAUACCUCAAAAUAGUCUCAAACGUCACAAAGAAACCUACUUGCUUCAGAUGGAGUUUCAGUAUCUUUAGCGGUGGCAGAAGAGGUCUUAAAAUCUUAAUGGCCAUCAACUGAGGUUAUCUAUUUCUUUUUUUACGCCCUCACUUUCGGAGAAAAUUUUAAUUUUCACCAAAGAUUAUAUUGACUAUAAUUUGGGCUAACAGUGCAGUACAGCUAUUCGCUGGUUUAUACGCAUUAAUGAAUGCAUCGAAAAGUGUUUCUGAAGUCCUUUUCACGUUUUUUUCUUCAACAUGUAUCUCAGUGUAAAACUGUUUCCUUGACCUUUUGUUAACAAGAGAUAAUCAAAGACCAAAAAUUAGAAGAAAAGUAAAAGAAUCUCACAAGAAAAAAUUCACGCUCUUAUAAAAUUUCUUUUCUCUUUCAAGAUGAAUUAGAAAUUAUUGUGUAAGUUAACGUACAUUCAUAACGGUCAAAUUAUAAGGGGUGAGAACCUUUCGAACAAAUGAACAAUGGCUGCGCCGAGUUUCUCUUCUCUUCACCGCAAUGGUGUCGUAUCUGUCUAGAAGUAAGAAGAAGUGAUACCGAGAAUAAUGAAUAAAAUUAAUGCUAUACAUAGGCAAGGAAAAAGUAGGUAAAAUGAAUUUCAUUUUGUUGAAUGGUUGCAAAUUUUCACUGACAAUAUAUUUCUUUAUUCAUUAAUAAGUGGGUGGAAAUGACAAGAAAAUUUAUUUUUUGUAUGUGUUCUUUAAUAAUGAAUAGAACAGCAAGUGAAAUAUCACAACAUUGCAAUGUGAUUACCCUUCCGGCUCUCACCCCUUCAAUAAAAUAUUUUAAAUAUUUAAUAUAUUAAGUUUGAUCAGUUUCUCACUCUUUUCAUGCAGUCAUUAAGCGUUCAAGGACUCGUGAUAUGUUCUGAUCAUGAAUCUUCUGAUCAUUACUUGAAUCUUAUUCUAACCUCGG